CAUGGCACAAAGAUGCACUGUCAAUACGUUCGGUUCCAGUUCCAGUUCCAGCGGCAGCGCGGACAACAUCUGCAAGAUAUUACGGGGGACGAGUGGUGAGACCGCAAGAGAUCAAGCUGGAUGGGAUGGUGAUCACAUCAACAGACAAUUCUCAGAGACAGAUCUCAAGGGUUCUGGAUGACAGGGUCUGUUUUUCUCCAACAGAGUGAGUGUUCAUGGAAAUGUAAAAUUUAAUUAUGGAUCUGGAAGUGAGUCAG